rnacentral:rRNA from 1 species
UAGCAUUGCUAUUUGCACUAAAGUUUUUAGUGUAAAAUCGACUUUGUCGAAUAAAAUUCUGGGUAGAAUUAUGAUAAUGACAUUAUCUACUUAUAAGUCUUGACCAAAUUACGUGCCAGCAGUCGCGGUAAUACGUAAAAGACAAGUGUUAUUCAUCUUUAAUAGGUUUAAAGGGUACUUAGACGGUAAAUAAAGCCUCUAAAAGGGACUAGUUUGCUAGAGUUUUAUAUGAGGGAGUUUUAAAGUACUACUGGUGUAGAGAUGAAAUUCAGUUAUACCUUACAUGGCACAGGUUAAGGCGAAAGCAUCUUCUUAUGUAAAAACUGACGUUGAAGGACGAAGGCUUUGUGUCUCGAACAGGAUUAGAUACCCUAGUAGUCUAAGCAGAAAAUCAUGAAUGUCAUAGAUUAGAUUUAAUUUGAUCUGUAAAUGAAAGUGUAAGCAUUCCACCUCAAGAGUAAUUUGGCAACAUUGGAACUGAAAUCAUUAGACCGUUUCUGAAACCAGUAGUGAAGUAUGUUGUUUAAUUUGAUAAUCCGCAAAAAACCUUACCACAAUUUGAAUAGAUAUAAUUUAUCAUACAAGCGUUGCACGGCUGUCUUCAGUUAAUGUCGUGAGACUUUGGUUAGUUCCAUUAAAUUAACGUAAACCCUUAUUUUAUUUUUAUAUAAAAUAGUUCACCGCUAUAUUGGAUGUGAUAAUAGGGAUCAAGACAAGUCAUCAUGACCUAAAUAUUGUGGGCUA